AAACUGGAAGCACUCACGAGGAGGCAAGUGACGCUGUUUUUGAGAGUAUACGCGUGGCCAUGAGAAGACCAUCCAUUAUAAUAGGAUUUUGACAUUUGAUUAAUUAAUUCUUGUUUUGACAUCUAGAAUCCCGUUUCCAAUUCAUUUUGUGCUUGCUUGAGGUCUCAUUGGAUCAUUGACUUUCCUUCGGAUUUAUUUUGGAAUAUUCAGGAUGAUGCUAUUGUUAUCCUUUGAUGAGAUGUAGUUGGACUGAUCAUGGGGAUAGGGGCUCAAUUCCCGCCCAUGUAAUGGCAGCUUCGGCUAUUGCUUCGUAUUUCUGUGGUGCACUACUUCUCUUUGAGCUUCAUUCUUGGGCUGAUGUUCUGUGUUUGGACUACUGAGAAGAUAGAACUUCAGUUCAAAAAAUAUUAAAAGCUCUGUGUAGGAAUGACAGCAGUGCAGAGUACACAGUGCCUCCCCCCUCUUGCUUGUGUAAUUGCCAGAGUAGAAAUAAUGAAUCUAUACUAAGAGGUCAUAUUCUCCAGGUCGAUUUUUUCUUCUGUAUAGUAUGCAUAGCCGAACAUCUUUGAUGAGUUUUUAGAGGCAGUCAUAUAUAUGGGUAACGAUUGUUUCUGUGAAUGAAUCUGUAAUAUAUAUUAAUUAUUCAUCAAUAAAAAGAAAGUUACCACUUACCACAA